AGAAGAAGAGUUUGAAAAUUUUACGACGCGGGCCAUUAACCGGGCGUACGCACACACAUGGUGUUACAACAUACUUAUGCGACUAGCCGACUAUACGGCAAAAGAAAACAAGCUGAGCUAAUGACUAGCCUAUCUGCUCCCAGUUGCUGAUGCCGUUGGCCAGCCAACGGUGACCAGGUGCGUUGCCCCAGCCUGCAUCCAUAGUUGGCCUUCCUCCAUGAUCGGGGCUACAACCUGAGCUGCAGAAUUCUCCGGCUGGCUGGUGAAAACUCUGCCAUUCCUCUCCUUCCAGAGAGAUUUUUGGGAACUGGAAGCAUAACCCCGUCAUUUCAAUUUUCAACAGAUAAGGUCACUGCAAAAGAGAACCAUUCCUGAUCCAGCCGUCUUCUGGAACGUUGACUUUGGUGUUCGGAUUCGUCCCUUUCAGUUUAAUUUAUUUAUAAUCAACUGCGUUGAGAAUUCGGAGAUGUUUGCAACAUAUGAAUUUUCUUGGUCGAAAACUUUGAAGCUGGCC
rnacentral:lncRNA from 1 species